rfam:Echinococcus multilocularis genomic scaffold, pathogen_EMT_contig_0822
AUCGCUUCUCGGCUCUCUGAGCUAAGAUCAUGUGUAGUAUCUGUUCUUUGCAGUGUAAUUUCUGCAACGGUCCCUAAUUUGGGACCAAUGAAAUUACCUGUAUUUUUCCAAGCAGGACGGGUGCUGUGAGCUUGCUCAACCCCGUCCACGGGUCGGCCUCGUAUUGCAUUACCUCGAGGAUUGGCCCACUAAUG